AAUUUAAUAUGUUCAAUGCGGAAGCGUGCAUGCCUACACGUGAACCAAAACACAUUUCCUUGUUUCUUCUAUGUGGAAUUCAUGGGAAAAAGAAUAAAACUGAAAUCGAGUGUAAGUGUCGGACCCGGACCGAUAUACUUUCUUUACCGAUAUCCGGACUGGAAAACGAGCGUUUUCUACAUGAUGUAUUGCAUUUGGUAUUGGUAACUCAUUAAUAUGUCAUAAAUAAAUUGUUGCAGAUCAAGCUAGCGUCGGUGAAACAGCGAUGAAGUACAUGAGACGAGUGUCUGCAGAGCUGGAAGCUGUUGGGGGUGGACCCGAAAAAAGGAGCUGAUGUUCAAGGUGUUAGAUUUGCAUUCCGUGUACAUCAGUUCGCCGGAGGAUUCGAUGUCGAAACGAUGAAGGCUUUCCAAGCUGAGAGACAAAGCCAGAUCGUGCCAUGUUCAAUACCAAAACCAGCAACAGAAAUAUAUCUGCAGUUCUACAUCUAGCUAAAAAUUGAUCUCUGAUAGCAUACUCAGCUUCAGAAUCCCGAAACCCCAUCCUAGUUUUCGCUGUAAGGAG